CCUACGGGAGGCAGCAGUGGGGAAUAUUGCACAAUGGGGGAAACCCUGAUGCAGCGACGCCGCGUGAAGGAAGAAGUAUUUCGGUAUGUAAACUUCUAUCAGCAGGGAAGAAAAUGACGGUACCUGACUAAGAAGCCCCGGCUAACUACGUGCCAGCAGCCGCGGUAAUACGUAGGGGGCAAGCGUUAUCCGGAUGUACUGGGUGUAAAGGGAGCGUAGGCGGGUUAGCAAGUCAGAAGUGAAAGCCCGGGGCUCAACUCCGGGACUGCUUUUGAAACUGUUGAACUAGAGUGCAGGAGAGGUAAGUGGAAUUCCUAGUGUAGCGGUGAAAUGCGUAGAUAUUAGGAGGAACACCAGUGGCGAAGGCGGCUUACUGGACUGUAAAUGACGCUGAGGCUCGAAAGCGUGGGGAGCAAACAGGAUUAGAUACCCUAGUAGUC
rnacentral:rRNA from 1 species